UAGGGAAUCUUCGGCAAUGGACGGAAGUCUGACCGAGCAACGCCGUGUGAGUGAAGAAGGUUUUCGGAUCGUAAAGCUCUGUUGUAAGAGAAGAACGAGUGUGAGAGUGGAAAGUUCACACUGUGACGGUAUCUUACCAGAAAGGGACGGCUAACUACGUGCCAGCAGCCGCGGUAAUACGUAGGUCCCGAGCGUUGUCCGGAUUUAUUGGGCGUAAAGCGAGCGCAGGCGGUUAGAUAAGUCUGAAGUUAAAGGCUGUGGCUUAACCAUAGUACGCUUUGGAAACUGUUUAACUUGAGUGCAAGAGGGGAGAGUGGAAUUCCAUGUGUAGCGGUGAAAUGCGUAGAUAUAUGGAGGAACACCGGUGGCGAAAGCGGCUCUCUGGCUUGUAACUGACGCUGAGGCUCGAAAGCGUGGGGAGCAAACAGGAUUAGAUACCCUGGUAGUCCACGCCGUAAACGAUGAGUGCUAGGUGUUAGACCCUUUCCGGGGUUUAGUGCCGCAGCUAACGCAUUAGGCACUCCGCCUGGGGAGUACGACCGCAAGGUUG
rnacentral:rRNA from 1 species